AUCCAAAGUCUCUUCUGUCGUUGGGGGUUGUAAACAGGAAGAUAUCAGUUCAGCAAGGAGUGACAUUUUGGAUUCAGAUAGUCCACAUUACACCGAUGGAGUUCACUCUGCGCUGCUAGAGCAUGGUGAUUCUUCUUAUGUGUUUGAGCCUGAUCAAUCAGAUAUGUCACAAGAUGAAGAAGAUAACCUCAGCAAGAGUCUCUACCCUUCGUACCUCUUUCCCAAACUUGAAGAAGAUGUGGAUUACUCCGACCCACCUGAAAGUUCUUGUAAUUUUGGAUUUCCUGAGGAAG
rnacentral:lncRNA from 1 species